CGAGUUGGUUAGACAAUCGCUGGUUUAUUGAAGCCCUUAACCGUGUUCGCACGACCUAGUGGGACAAGUAAACGAGAGGAAAGUCCGAGCUACACAGGGCAGAGUGCCAGAUAACGUCUGGGCGGCGUGAGCCGACGACCAGUGCAACAGAGAGCAGACCGCCGCGUAAGCGGUAAGGGUGAAAGGGUGCGGUAAGAGCGCACCGCGUGAGUGGUAACAUUUCACGGCAGGGUAAACUCCACUCGUAGCAAGACCAAAUAGGAACUCAAUGGAUGGCCCGUCCAGAGUUCGGGUAGGUUGCUUGAGCACAAUAGCGAUGUUGUGCCUAGAGGAAUGAUUGUCCACGACAGAACUCGGCUUAUCGACCAACUCACUAG
rnacentral:RNase_P_RNA from 2 species